CUAACAAGUCUCAGCCUGAAUCACCUCUUCUAUCUCUUUAUUUCAGGAUAGCAUUCACCUCUGUGCAUAAGUCAAACAUAAGGCUGAUUCACAAAGGCUGUCCUGCUUACACAGUAGAAAGUUUCAGUAAGACAGAAGUGAGGAAAAGGCCUUCUCCUGACCAUUUGCAAGGGAACAUAUAGAGAUUCUGGUGAUCUGCACAGACUGGAAGUCCUGGACCAUCCAAAAAGAACUGUCUUUUUCAAAAGAGUGGAAAACCAAAACUUAUAACUGAAAAAAGAAAAUCGGCCUUCUACUUUCCAGUUGUUGACGAAGACACAAAAUUUCCAGUAUAUUUUCUCAGAAGUAUUUCAUACUGGAGACAAAAAGAAAAAGGUGGACUUCUUCCAGUCAGUUUUACUGUCCAAGUCUGCCAGAGGAACUUUAGUCACUGUGGUGCUUUAUUGCAUAAGAGAUCUGGCUUCUAAAAUCCCAACUCUGACCACAGGAAAAUACUGACUGGGGCAUUGCAGAAAAAUAGAAACAGCUAAUUGUAUGAGUUCAAGCUCUCCAUGCUGUUUAGUCGCCACUCUGCAGCAAGGAUCUUGACAAAGACUGUUUCAUUUCCUGUUUUCCCC